GGGACCACCACCAUGGAGUAGGUGUAGCAGGCCAGCUCAGAGAUGAUCCACUGGCGAGAGAGACACAGCAUACAGGCAGAGGGAGUCAAUCUUAUCUUCUUCAUUAAGGUUCUACUUUGAAGAGUUGCCUGCUUCCUGGGCUGUCGUCGGGGUUCCCCCACACUACAGGAUAUCGGAUGGUUGCAGGUGAAGUCAAUGGGGAAAUAUAGCUGAUUUCAACCAUUCCGAAGGUGAACAACCAAAACAGGGUCUUACCGGCACUUCCUGGGACUGGUGGCGCAGGUCGCAGGGCGGCUGGAUGGGGCGGGGCCGGGAGGAGAGCCAGUAGGCCAGCACGGCGGUCAGAGCCCCGAUGCCCACCAGCGUGGAGGUGGG